rnacentral:rRNA from 1 species
UACGGGGGGAGCAAGCGUUGUUCGGAUUUACUGGGCGUAAAGGGCGCGUAGGCGGUCAGCACAAGUCAGUUGUGAAAUCUCCGAGCUUAACUCGGAAAGGUCAACUGAUACUGUGCGACUAGAGUGCAGAAGGGGCAACUGGAAUUCUCGGUGUAGCGGUGAAAUGCGUAGAUAUCGAGAGGAACACCUGCGGCGAAGGCGGGUAGCUGGGCCGACACUGACGCUGAGGCGCGAAAGCCAGGGGAGCGAACGGG